rnacentral:lncRNA from 1 species
CAUGCACCAUUAUGAGAUAAAAAAACUAAUCCAAAAAUGAACACAAAAUUGAUCCUAAUUCACUUCAUUAACAACGAAAUACAUUACAAUGAAGCUUGCGAACUAAACACAAUUUCGCUACAAUACCAACAAUAAUAGAAAUUACAAUUAAGAACAUUACACUAACUAGACACCAUCAACAAUUUUUCAUAUCACAAACUUAUCUAGAGAAAAGUAACAAAAACAACAACUUCAAGACAUCAUCUUCAAAGAAAAAAAAAACCCAUGACCAUAGCACAAUCUUCCUCCAUCGCUUGUCUUUGAACUCCAAAUUUGAAACUUUCUCCUCAAGGUAGAUACAUAAUUCAAAUUUGUCAAUUUAGA